AGCAGCCGCGGUAAUUCCAGCUCCAAUAGCGUAUAUUAAAGUUGUUGCAGUUAAAAAGCUCGUAGUUGAAUUUCGGGGUUAGUAGGUUGGUCAUGCCUCUGGUAUGUACUGGUCUCACUGAUUCCUCCUUCCUGAUGAGCCGUAAUGCCAUUAAUUUGGUGUUGCGGGGAAUUUGGACUGUUACUUUGAAAAAAUUAGAGUGUUUAAAGCAAGCUAACGCUUGAAUACAUUAGCAUGGAAUAAUGAAAUAGGACGUUCGAUCCUAUUUUGUUGGUUUCUAGGAUUGGCGUAAUGAUUAAUAGGGAUAGUUGGGGGCAUUAGUAUUCAAUUGUCAGAGGUGAAAUUCUUGGAUUUAUUGAAGACUAACUACUGCGAAAGCAUUUGCCAAGGAUGUUUUCAUUAAUCAAGAACGAAAGUUAGGGGAUCGAAGACGAUCAGAUACCGUCGUAGUCUUAACCAUAAACUAUGCCGACUAGGGAUCGGAUGAUGUUAAUUUUUUAAUGACUCA
rnacentral:rRNA from 1 species